AUGGCAGUCGGCUACCAGGCCCUCCCCGUCGAACGCCCCGUUGGCAAGCACCAUCCCGGCGGCGCCCGCGCGGUGAACCACGUCGCCCUUGGCGGCGCGCGAGUUCACGCCGCGGUCGCACACCACGAUCUUCCCGCGCACGGCCGCCUGGUCCAGCGACCCGUCGAGGCACGUCGACGCCGAGUAACUGGUUGCCCCCGCGUACACCAGCUCGUACAUUUUGCCGGACUGGAGCACCGGCCCGCCGUACACGCUCACGCCGUCGAGCACUUGGCCGUUGCCGAGACGCACGUUAGCCGGGAAGGCGCGGUCCAUGGACCCGGCGCCUACGGUGGUCAUCCAGGGCGCCACAUUGGUCACAGAGAGACCACCUGGGCCGCCAUUGCCGGCCGAAGCGGACACGACGAUGCCAGCCUCUGUAGCGCCGAAUGCCCCAAUUGCGAUGGCGUCCAGAUAGUACGGCACCACGGCACCGCCGACGCUGAGAGAAACAACGUCGACGCCGUCAGCGACGGCGGCAUCGAAGGCCGCGAGGAUGUCGGAGUCGAAGCAGCCGCCCACCCAGCACACCUUGUACGCGGCGAGGCGAGCCUUGGGCGCCAUCCCGGAUGCCACGCCGCGCGCGUAGCCGAGGGUGGACGCCGGGAACACGUAGCGGCCCGCGGCGAUGGACGCCGUGUGGGUGCCGUGGCCGUCGUUGUCGAGCGGCGACCUGACCUCGGCGGUCUCGUUCAUCCGGCCGGAGGUGGCCUCGUAGCCCGCGGAGAAGAAGCGCGCCCCGACGAGCUUCCGAUUGCAGGAGCCGGGCGGGAAGCCGGGCCCGGACGCGCACACCCCGCGCCACCUGGGCGGGACGGGGCCGAGGCCGCGGUCGCGGAAGCUGCGGUGCGCGGGCGAGAUGCCGGUGUCGAUGACGGCGAUGACGAGGUCGGAGCCGAAGUCGGAGUCGGCGAGGAUGGCCGAGGGCGGGGAGGAGAGCAUCCCGAGGAACCGCGGCGAGCGCGUGGUGGCGAGGUGGCGGACGCGCUCCGGCAGCACGGCCGCCACCCCGUGGGCGCCGGCCAGCGCCGCCGCGGCCGACGGCGACAUCCGCGCCGAGAACCCGUGGAGGGCGGCGGAGUAGGUGUGGAUCAGCGGGCCGCCCUCCGGCCACCCCCCGCCGCCCCCGGACGCCCCCAGCACCGCCGACUCGUACCAGUGCGCGUGGGUCGGGAAAGCCGACGGCUUCGCGUCGGCAUCCACCCGCACGAUGUACGUCCUCUCCCCUCCCGUGUCCCCGCCGGAGGCGCCCGCCGCGGCGACGAGGAGGAGCGGCAGCAGCGGGAGCAGAUGGCGCGGCAUUGCGCAAUGGCGGAUCGGGAGCGAGAUUGGGGAGCAGGGAGUGGAGUGGAGCGGCGAAGGGGAAAGCCGCGCAGCGCCUGCCUCGGGUAA
rnacentral:rRNA from 1 species